GAUUAUGGCUCAGAUUGAACGCUGGCGGCAGGCCUAACACAUGCAAGUCGAACGGUAACAGGAAGAAGCUUGCUCUUGCUGACGAGUGGCGGACGGGUGAGUAAUGUCUGGGAAACUGCCUGAUGGAGGGGGGAUAACUACUGGAAACGGUAGCUAAUACCGCAUAACGUCGCAAGACCAAAGAGGGGGACCUUCGGGCCUCUUGCCAUCGGAUGUGCCCAGAUGGGAUUAGCUUGUUGGUGGGGUAACGGCUCACCAAGGCGACGAUCCCUAGCUGGUCUGAGAGGAUGACCAGCCACACUGGAACUGAGACACGGUCCAGACUCCUACGGGAGGCAGCAGUGGGGAAUAUUGCACAAUGGGCGCAAGCCUGAUGCAGCCAUGCCGCCGUGUAUGAAGAAGGCCUUCGGGUUGUAAAGUACUUUCAGCGGGGAGGAAGGGAGUAAAGUUAAUACCUUUGCUCAUUGACGUUACCCGCAGAAGAAGCACCGGCUAACUCCGUGCCAGCCGCAGC
rnacentral:rRNA from 1 species